AGCGAACGCUGGCGGCAGGCUUAACACAUGCAAGUCGAGCGGGUGUAGCAAUACAUCAGCGGCAGACGGGUGAGUAACGCGUGGGAACGUACCUUUUGGUUCGGAACAACCCAGGGAAACUUGGGCUAAUACCGGAUAAGCCCUUACGGGGAAAGAUUUAUCGCCGAAAGAUCGGCCCGCGUCUGAUUAGCUAGUUGGUGAGGUAAUGGCUCACCAAGGCGAUGAUCAGUAGCUGGUCUGAGAGGAUGAUCAGCCACAUUGGGACUGAGACACGGCCCAAACUCCUACGGGAGGCAGCAGUGGGGAAUAUUGGACAAUGGGGGCAACCCUGAUCCAGCCAUGCCGCGUGAGUGAUGAAGGCCCUAGGGUUGUAAAGCUCUUUUGUGCGGGAAGAUAAUGACGGUACCGCAAGAAUAAGCCCCGGCUAACUUCGUGCCAGCCGCCGCCGUAA
rnacentral:rRNA from 1 species